rnacentral:rRNA from 1 species
CGGCCGCGGGAUUCGAUUAGAGUUUGAUUAUGGCUCAGAUUGAACGCUGGCGGCAUGCUUUACACAUGCAAGUCGAGCGGCAGCGCGGGGGCAACCCUGGCGGCGAGCGGCGAACGGGUGAGUAAUGCAUCGGAACGUGUCCCGUAAUGGGGGAUAACGCCGCGAAAGCGGCGCUAAUACCGCAUACGCUCUACGGAGGAAAGUGGGGGAUCUGCAAGGACCUCACGUUAGGGGAGCGGCCGAUGUCCGAUUAGCUAGUUGGUGGGGUAACGGCCUACCAAGGCGACGAUCGGUAGCUGGUCUGAGAGGAUGAUCAGCCACACUGGGACUGAGACACGGCCCAGACUCCUACGGGAGGCAGCAGUGGGGAAUUUUGGACAAUGGGGGCAACCCUGAUCCAGCCAUGCCGCGUGCGGGAAGAAGGCCUUCGGGUUGUAAACCGCUUUUAGCCGGGAAGAAAAGGCGCGAGUUAAUACCUCGUGUUUUUGACGGUACCGGCGGAAUAAGCACCGGCUAACUACGUGCCAGCAGCCGCGGUAAUACGUAGGGUGCGAGCGUUAAUCGGAAUUACUGGGCGUAAAGCGUGCGCAGGCGGUUCGUUGUGUCGGUGGUGAAAUCCCCGGGCUUAACCUNNNNNUGGCCAUGGAAACUGGCGAACUGGAGUGCGGCAGNNNGGGGUGGAAUUCCGCGUGUAGCAGUGANNUGCGUAG